CCUACGGGAGGCUGCAGUAGGGAAUCUUCCACAAUGGGCGCAAGCCUGAUGGAGCAACACAGCGUGAGUGAUGAAGGGUUUCGGAUUGUAAAGCUCUGUUGUUGGAGAAGAACGUUCGUGAGAGUAACUGUUCACGCAGUGACGGUAUCCAACCAGAAAGUCACGGCUAACUACGUGCCAGCAGCCGCGGUAAUACAUAGGUGGCAAGCGUUAUCCGGAUUUAUUGGGCGUAAAGCGAUCGUAGGCGGUUGCGUAGGUCUGAUGUGAAAGCCUUCGGCUUAACCGAAGAAUUGCAUCGGAAACUGGGCAACUUGAGUGCAGUAGAGGUCAGUGGAACUCAAUGUGUAGCGGUGGAAUGCGUAGAUAUAUGGAAGAACACCAGUGGCGAAGGCAGCUGUCUGGUCUGCAACUGACGCUGAGGCUCGAAAGCAUGGGUAGCAAACAGGAUUAGAUACCCGAGUAGUC
rnacentral:rRNA from 1 species